rnacentral:rRNA from 1 species
UACGUAGGGUCCGAGCGUUGUCCGGAAUUAUUGGGCGUAAAGGGCUCGUAGGCGGUUUGUCACGUCGGGAGUGAAAACUCAGGGCUCAACCCUGAGCGUGCUUCCGAUACGGGCAGACUAGAGGUAUGCAGGGGAGAACGGAAUUCCUGGUGUAGCGGUGGAAUGCGCAGAUAUCAGGAGGAACACCGGUGGCGAAGGCGGUCCAACUGGACG